GACGAACGCUGGCGGCGUGCCUAAUACAUGCAAGUUGAGCGCUGAAGGUUGGUACUUGUACCAACUGGAUGAGCAGCGAACGGGUGAGUAACGCGUGGGGAAUCUGCCUUUGAGCGGGGGACAACAUUUGGAAACGAAUGCUAAUACCGCAUAAAAACUUUAAACACAAGUUUUAAGUUUGAAAGAUGCAAUUGCAUCACUCAAAGAUGAUCCCGCGUUGUAUUAGCUAGUUGGUGAGGUAAAGGCUCACCAAGGCGAUGAUACAUAGCCGACCUGAGAGGGUGAUCGGCCACAUUGGGACUGAGACACGGACCAAACUCCUACGGGAGGCAGCAGUAGGGAAUCUUCGGCAAUGGACGAAAGUCUGACCGAGCAACGCCGCGUGAGUGAAGAAGGUUUUCGGAUCGUAAAACUCUGUUGGUAGAGAAGAACGUUGGUGAGAGUGGAAAGCUCAUCAAGUGACGGUAACUACCCAGAAAGGGACGGCUAACUACGUG
rnacentral:rRNA from 1 species